rnacentral:tRNA from 17 species
GCCCCUGUGGCGAAAUUGGUAGACGCGACCGACUCAAAAUCGGUUGCCGCAAGGCAUGCUGGUUCGAUUCCGGCCAGGGGCACCA